UUUGUACUCCCUCUGUUCCAAAUUACUCGUCACAGAAAUGGACGUAUCUAGAACUAAAAUACAUCUAGAUACAUCCAUACCUGCGACAAGUAAUUCGGAUCGGAGGGAGUAAUUG
rfam:Triticum aestivum genome assembly, contig: Triticum_aestivum_CS42_TGACv1_scaffold_290134_4AL